UGCAGAUGGCACAGUGAUCAGAUGGUCAGUUGCAUUAGCGUAUAAAGCAUAUAAAGAGAAAACUGUUCCCCCCAAGGAGCCUUCGUGGUAUCAUCCAGCAGGCUCCACCCUCCAGCUCUUGGAGCCGCCAUGUGGCUGGGUUUGGAAGUACAGCGGUGCCACGGAAGAGAAGGAGGGAAAAUGGAAAGAGAAUGGAUAGAAAAAGUCUGCUGUCCCAUUCAGUCAUAUGUCAAGCAGAAAUGUAUGCAAACUCUAAAGUGUUCAGUUGCCUCACAAGGUCACUAUGUCUAUUAAGCAACCAAGACUUGAUGCUCUCAAACCAUUUCCAUAUUGACAGUAAAGUCCUUGACUGCUCUAUUGAAAUUUUGCUAAUGUAUGAAGUGCUACGUUAAAUUUAUCGUCUAAUCAAUCAAAUAAUGCGCAUAAGCAAGGAAAACUUUGCUUGGCAAGCAUUAAUCACCAGCACCAAUAUUAGCAUCAAGUAACACUAAAUAACAGACUACC